CAGUGUUAUGAAAUGCCAAAGGCUGGAGCAAUCAAAUGCUUAUUGAUUUUAAUGUGUCUUCAGUCAGAAAAUGAUUUUCCGCAGGAUAAUGGAGAGAGAGAGAGAGAGAGAGAGAGAGAGAGAGAGAGAGAGAGAGAGAGAGAGAGAGAGAGAGGACAAAUGAUUUUCUAAGAGAGAGAUUGUGAUCCUACACCAAGAUGCACAAUGCAUUUGAUUUAUUCACAAAUGCAUUCCUAAUGGUACAGUGCCAUCAUCUGAUAGACAACAUAAAUGUUUCUCAGUUUAUGGGUCAGAUGUCAAAAGAGUGCGGAGUGACUUUUUUUUGCAUGGCACAAAAUAAGAUGGCGUCACCGAUACUGCUGCAGGGGAGAGAAGCCCCCUUCGGUGCUGCACGCUUUCCGAGGGAGAGAAGGCUAGCAGACGCGCCACGCUGACAUCAGCGCAAACACGAGCGGCGGCGGCUCACCUGAGUUCUGCCGGAGCCGGGAUCUGAAAGAGGUUUGAGAAGAGGCAUGGUGAGUGACGGGUUAGCAGGUGCGAGCAAACACUCGCACGCCUUCGCCGCAACAAGACAAGUCUCCCUCAUUAGUGGUGAAGGCGGACGCCUCGUGUUUGACCGCGGUUCACUUUGUUUUGCUUUGCUGCCGCUACCUGACAGC